rnacentral:rRNA from 1 species
UACGUAGGGCGCAAGCGUUGUCCGGAAUUAUUGGGCGUAAAGAGCUCGUAGGCGGCUUGUCACGUCGGGUGUGAAAGACCGGGGCUUAACCCCGGUUCUGCAUUCGAUACGGGCUAGCUAGAGUGUGGUAGGGGAGAUCGGAAUUCCUGGUGUAGCGGUGAAAUGCGUAGAUAUCGAGAGGAACACCUGCGGCGAAGGCGGGUUGCUGGGCUGAUACUGACGCUGAGGCGCGAAAGCCAGGGGAGCGAACGGG